rnacentral:rRNA from 1 species
UACGUAGGGGGCAAGCGUUGUCCGGAAUCAUUGGGCGUAAAGAGCGCGUAGGCGGCCCAGUAAGUCCGCUCUGAAAGUCAGGGGCUCAACCCCUGAAUGCGGGUGGAUACUGCUGGGCUAGAGUCCGGAAGAGGCGAGUGGAAUUCCUGGUGUAGCGGUGAAAUGCGCAGAUAUCAGGAGGAACACCAAUGGCGAAGGCAGCUCGCUGGGACGGUACUGACGCUGAGGCGCGAAAGCGUGGGGAGCGAACAGG